AUAUUAAGUCAUAGUACUGUGGGAAGAAAGGUCCAGUACUCUAAUUAUUCUUACCCGACUGAUUACAUGGGAGAGAGCAGGGUGGAGGGAGCGCUGGGAAGAAGGGAGAUGUGAGUUCUGGUAGGAGGGAGAAGCGAGGAGGUGAGAGAUGUGGGUACUGGUAGGAGGGUGAAGAGAGGAGGGGAGAGAUGUGGGUACUGGUAGGAGGGUGAAGAGAGGAGGAGAGAGAUGUUUGUAAAACUUCCUUUUUAAAUUACGAUUGAAAUGUUUUGGAGAUAUAUAACGAGUCCAUCUACUUUGAUAUGAUGAUAAUGAAUGUUUUGAGAGUACAUCACCACUUGCACUUCCGUUUGACCAUAGUUGUCUGUACAGUAGUCGUUCAUGAAACAUGAUUGGUGUAUGACGUGAAAUCUGCAUGAGUACAAUUUUCA